rnacentral:rRNA from 1 species
CCUACGGGAGGCAGCAGUGAGGAAUAUUGCGCAAUGGGCGAAAGCCUGACGCAGCAACGCCGCGUGAGGGAUGAAGGCCUUCGGGUUGUAAACCUCUUUUCUGGGGAACGAGAUCAGGACGGUACCUCGGGAAUAAGUCUCGGCUAACUACGUGCCAGCAGCCGCGGUAAAACGUAGGAGGCGAGCGUUAUCCGGAUUUACUGGGCGUAAAGCGCACGCAGGCGGCUUCGUUAGUCGGAUGUGAAAGCUCCUGGCUUAACUGGGAGAGGCCAUUCGAUACUGCGGGGCUUGAGAUUGGGAGAGGGGUGCGGAAUCCCCGGUGUAGUGGUGAAAUGCGUAGAUAUCGGGAGGACCACCAGUGGCGAGGGCAGCCCCCGGGGUUGACACUGACGCUCAGGCACGAAAGCGGGGGGAGCAAACGGGAUUAGAUACCCUUGUAGU